rnacentral:lncRNA from 1 species
AUGGAAGAUCCAGCCAAUAUGAGAGAUGGGCCGUCUACCUGCCAGAAUACCUCUAAUGACUGCCUUGACUACACUUCACUGACCCUGUCCCUCCCACACCUCCCAGAGAGGGGUGACGAGGAGCCUUCGAUAUUGAUGGAAGAUCCAGCCAAUAUGAGAGAUGGGCCGUCUACCUGCCAGAAUACCUCUAAUGACUGCCUUGACUACACUUCACUGACCCUGUCCCUCCCACCCCUCCCAGAGAGGGGUGACGAGGAGGAAGAAAGGGGGAGUGUGUAUGGAUUAGCAACACUCACAUCCAAGGAACAGAGCUCUGGGUAUGGGUAAAUGCAAAAACAAAGUAGCCAUGGUUCAAUUCAACACAUAACCCAUCACAACUUCAACAUUUCAACAAUUCACAUAAUUGGUGAAUUUUACUUUUUGUGUGCAUUUCAAGAUCAUAACAUUUGUAAUUAAAUACAAAUUCAAUGUGUUAGACAUGUUGCACUGGGCUCCAUGCCCAUCACCCACCAUCAGUCAGGU